UAAAGUGAAUACUACAUGAGUAAUGCUAAUAAGAAUUUUAUCAUUUUCCUGGUGGAAAAUCAUUUGAUACCUUUAGCCGCUCACUACGAAAAUAAUUAUAAAAAAAGGCGACUAAAUAUUUGUGAGCUUCAUCUGCAAUAAUUCAUUCUUUUUUCUUCAAGAAAUAUAGUUAAAUUCCCGCCAAAAAAUGUCAAAGCUCUUUGUUUUAAUUGUUUUGAUUGUUUUUUUGGCGAAUACAAUAUAUUGCUUUGAUAUUGCAUCAUUUUUCAUGAGUGAUAAUGAAGAAAAAGAAGAUUAUAGUAAUCAAUGUCUGACAGUAGAAGAUAGUGAUCAAUGUGGAUCUACCGACGAUUGCUGUGAAGAUCUAACGUGUCACGCAUUUGGAGAAUGGAAAAUGUGCAUUAAAGAAUAAUUUAUAAUUACUUCAAAAAAUAAUUAAUCAAACUGUUUAUUGAAAUAGAUUUCAAGCUAAGGACAUCUGAAAUAAAUUAAUAAAAUUUUUUUAGAACGA